rnacentral:rRNA from 1 species
AUUCCAGCUCCAAUAGCGUAUAUUAAAGUUGUUGCAGUUAAAAAGCUCGUAGUUGGAGUUCAGAGUGAGCUCAGCCGGUCGGCCUCAUGGGUCAGAACUGGUCGACUCUCUCUUGUUUGUGGAUCCCGUCCGGAGUUAACUCUUCGGAAUGUGGAGUUCACAUCGUUUACCUUGAAAAAAUUAGAGUGUUCAAAGCAGGCGUUUGCUUGAAUAUAUUAGCAUGGAAUAAUGGAAUAGGACCCUGGUUCUAUUUUGUUGGUUUUGAGAACCAGAGUAAUGAUUAAUAGGGAUAGUUGGGGGCAUUCAUAUUUCAUUGUCAGAGGUGAAAUUCUUGGAUUUAUGAAAGAUGAACUUCUGCGAAAGCAUUUGCCAAGGAUGUUUUCAUUA